UCAGUAAAAAAUGCAUUUUAUACAAAGCCUAUUUUAUAAUAAGGUAUUGAAUAUAUCAUGUAAUUUACUGAAUAUUGUAUUGAAAGUGAAAAUCAGAAUGGUUGCAUGGGUACUUAA